rnacentral:rRNA from 1 species
GUCGGUGUUCUAUUGCAACGUGUACCACCUCUUCCCAUUCCGAACAGAGAAGUUAAAGCGUUGUAAUCCGAUGAUACUUAUGGCUUCGGCUGUGGGGAAAGUAGGAUAUGCCGGCA